AUGGAGAGUCUGACGGAGCACGCCGCGUGAGUGAUGAAGGUUUUCGGAUCGUAAAGCUCUGUUGUUAGGGAAGAACAAGUACCGUUCGAAUAGGGCGGUACCUUGACGGUACCUAACCAGAAAGCCACGGCUAACUACGUGCCAGCAGCCGCGGUAAUACGUAGGUGGCAAGCGUUGUCCGGAAUUAUUGGGCGUAAAGGGCUCGCAGGCGGUUUCUUAAGUCUGAUGUGAAAGCCCCCGGCUCAACCGGGGAGGGUCAUUGGAAACUGGGGAACUUGAGUGCAGAAGAGGAGAGUGGAAUUCCACGUGUAGCGGUGAAAUGCGUAGAGAUGUGGAGGAACACCAGUGGCGAAGGCGACUCUCUGGUCUGUAACUGACGCUGAGGAGCGAAAGCGUGGGGAGCGAACAGGAUUAGAUACCCUGGUAGUCCACGCCGUAAACGAUGAGUGCUAAGUGUUAGGGGGUUUCCGCCCCUUAGUGCUGCAGCUAACGCAUUAAGCACUCCGCCUGGGG
rnacentral:rRNA from 1 species